UGGGUUACUAGCUAGUGUGUACACAUGAACACAUGAAGCUGGGUGAGAGGGAAACAAGCCAGGAUAUCUCUGGAAACAAUAUUUUCACUACCAGAUUUAUGAUUCUGCUGAAAUAAAAAAAGAGGUUGUACCACAGAAAGAACUAUCUAUCAAAAAGUAGGACAAGAGAAAUAUUAAAAUCUGUAUCAGCAUUCACAGAUGGAUUUAUAGAAAAUCACAGACAUCAUGUGCUGAAUGUGCAUCAGGAUAACCAAAAGCAAGAUAUUUUCAGAAAGAUUGCUAUGCCUGAUACUGUUAUCACUUAAAAAGAAAAUAAAA